AUAAAUGAUUACAAAGCCCAGUCGAAUUGUAAUCAAGACCCAACGUUUCGUUGGGUCUUGAUUACUAUUCGACUAGGCUUUGUAAUCAUUUAUUU
rnacentral:miRNA from 1 species